ensembl:lncRNA
GGUCAUUUAGGGUGCCAUUUGGGAUUUAGCCAGAAGGAUAUAAUAAUGUGUAUUACAUUCAUUUAAAUAAAUUUAACUAAAGACAACAGGUCUCUCCCUAGACUAGUUACUGGUUACAGACAACAGGUCUCUCCCUAGACUAGUUACUGGUUACAGACAACAUGUCUCUCCCUAGACUAGUUACUGGUUACAGACAACAGGUCUCUCCCUAGACUAGUUACUGGUUACAGACAACAGGUCUCUCCCUAGACUAGUUAUAGGUUACAGACAACAGGUCUCUCCCUAGACUAGUUACUGGUUACAGACAACAGGUCUCUCCCUAGACUAGUUAUAGGUUACAGACAACAGGUCUCUCCCUAGACUAGUUACAGACAACAGGUCUCUCCCUAGACUAGUUACUGGUUACAGACAACAGGUCUCUCCCUAGACUAGUUACUGGUUACAGACAACAGGUCUCUCCCUAGACUAGUUACUGGUUACAGACAACAGGUCUCUCCCUAGACUAGUUACUGGUUACAGACAACAGACUGCAACGCAGGGCUUGGUCAAGAGAAGUGUUGUGUAGGAUGCCGUUUGAGGUGUGGCACUAUGGAAAGCAGCGUCUGGGAGGUCAAGGGUCAAAGACCACCCAGGCAGAGGUCAAGGGUGGGUGACCUCACUCUCUUUAACAGU